CUCCCCCGGUAGUCCGAACCAUUAACUGCUGAAAAUGCCAGUUUACACCCUUCCUGUAGAGAUCUGUUUGUGACUGGAAGGUAAAUCCUUAGGGAUGUGAGGUAAGAGACAGAACAGCGAUGCAGGAACCAGGAGGAAGGGCAGAAGGAGGGAGGGUCUGUGGUGGGCAGGCUGGAAAGGGUCCAGAAGAGGAGAAUCAUGGAGUCAUCAUUUGAGUUGGACAGAACCCUUAAAGGCCAUCUGGCACAACUCUCCUGCAAUGAACAGACACCCACAGUUGCAUCAGAUGCCCAGAGCCUUGUCCAGCCUGACCUUGAGUGUCUUCAAGGGUGGAGCAUCCACCACCUCUCUGGGCAACCUGUGCCAGUGCCUCACCACAGUUAUCAUGAAAAACUUCUUCCUUAUAUCCAAUCUAACUCUCCUCUCUUUUAGUUUGAAACCAUUUCCCCUUGUCCCAUCACAGCAGACCCCAGUCAAGAGUCUGUCUGUUCUUACAGACCCCCUUUAGAUACUGACAGGCAGCUCUCAGGUCUCUCCAGAGCCUUCUCCUCUCCAUGCUGAACAGAUCCAGCUCUCUCAGCCUGUCCUUGUAGGAGAGGUGUUCCAUCCAUGGGAGCAUUUCUGUGACCCUCCUCUGGAUGCAAUCCAACAGGUCCGUGUCUCUCCUGAAUUGAGGACUCCACAUCUGGACAUAGUGCUCCAGGUGAUGGCUGCUGGGCACAAGCAUGUUGGAAGCGUGGGAGGAGAUACUCCCAAUCAGGACUGUCUUGAGGGCUUCCAUCCCCAGAUCUCUUUAGCUCAUCAACCUCACACAGAAGCAGAAGCUGUCAUGGAGCCAUGCUGGCAGUCUCCCUCCUUUUAUCUCACCUUCCUCAGAAAGCUGCCGUAACCCACUCACCACAGCUGUGCCAGGUUUCAGCAGGUCACCAGGCCAAGCAAGUGGCUUUUCUCAUCCUGGGGACCCAGCUCUUCCCAUCUCAGGGCAGACCACCCAGCAUUCAGCAGCACACAUUUGCAAGGCUGACACAUGUGCCGCAUCACUCCCUCCUGAGCCCAAGCAGCAUCCUGGAGGGAAGCUGGAGUGUUAGCAGCCUCUCUCCCAUUACACAUCUGCCAAGGCUGGCGCUUGGGGAACAUCAAUGACAUGCUUAUGAGCGAGCGCUACCCAGGAACACGUUUUGUAGUGAAAUGUAGCUCGCUAAAUGCUCUCAUGUGUUCAGCGUGAGGCUCAAAGGCUGCCAGAAAGCUUACCAGAGAACGUGGGCUGUCCAUGGACACGUGGCAGCAUGUGGGAGAAAAAAAAAAUGGGAAAGGUUGAUCCGUGGUGCUGUAAUUAAUUUGAAAUCCAUUGUAGGCAGCUAACUGGAGCACAGAGCACCAGAGGACAGCGGUGAGGAAGAGCUCAGUUCAGUCUGACAUCCACUGUCCCAUGGGUUAAAUGUGUCUUACAAAAAUUGGACUCAGUACCCAGAUGAGAAUUCAUAAUCCAAAUCGAUGGGGAGAGGAAAUUGUUGGCUGUCUCCAUCAACACCACCAUUAAAGGAACCUGUUGCACUUUGAAGAGGGAGCAAGCCCACGUUGCCCUGCAAAGAUGUAAGGGAACGCAGGAUAUUGUGCACAGCCUGGUACCUCCAAGCAGCCAUUUGAACCUCCCAUCCAGAUAAGCU
ensembl:lncRNA